GUUUCAGCUAAUUUUUUUUUUUUUACUUUAUCAGUUAAAACUUGAAAUUGUCAAUAAAAAUGCUGGAGUAAAUAGACCUCCAUUUAAAAUGGACAAAUAAUUUUCUGUGCUCUGUGAAUAGUAUCACAUCUGAAUAUUUUGUGACAUACCACUAUUGCUAUUUUCUGUUCCACAUACUCACAUUCACUGAGAUAAAGUGUAUUUUUAGUUCUUCUUGUGGCUUGUGUGGGGUCACAGUGGUUCAUUAUUUAAAUGACUAGAGGAAACCUUAUCCAAGUUAGUGGGAAUAUGGACUACAAGAGCAUGGAAUAGAAGAGGAAGACAUUGAUGUAAUGUCUUGCUGGCCUGUCACAGACCUGAAGUUAAAUAAAUCCCAAAUGACUGGAGCCCUGCAGGCCCAUCCCAUAGAAAUGAUGAUGUGGACAUUUUGGAAAACAUUCUGAAAGCAGUUAUCAAGAUGAUGAAUUGCUUUGGACAUCAAGUCACUAAAGGUUAGAGUUUUAUUUUCUCUUUCUUUCUCUUUCUUUCAUUCUUUCUUCUUUUUUUUAAAGCAGCCCAGA
rnacentral:lncRNA from 12 species